rnacentral:rRNA from 1 species
AUGGCCAAGGAGGACCCCACGGCGGAGCACGGCCUCAAGCUUGCCAUCAAAGACUAUCCGUUCGCUAAUGAUGGGCUCCUCAUCUGGGACGCCGUCAAGGGGUGGCUCCUGGCAUACGUCUCCCGGUAUUACCCGGACGCUGCCACCAUGGCCAGCGAGACGUGGAGCUACAGGCGUUCUGGAAGGAGUUGGGUGGCGGCGGCGCACCACACGGCGGUCAACUUCGGGCAGUAUGACUUCGGGGGACACUUCCCGAACCGCCCCUCCAUCGCGCGCACCAACAUGCCGGUUGAGAAGUUCCUGGACAAACCGGACCAGGCGCUCCGAGAAUGCUUCCCGUCGCAGGUGCAGGCAAAGCUGGUGAUGACGGUGUUAGAUGUGUUGUCCAAUCACUCUCCUGACGAGGAGUACCUCGGAGGGAUGGAGAGCGCACCGCGGGGCGGCGACACCAUGGUGCAUGCGGCCUACCUGAGGUUUGUCUUAAGGAGGUGGACGGGAUCAUCGACGGAAGGAACAAGGACAGGAAGCUCAAGAACCGGUGCCGCGUCGGCAUCGUGCCGUAGCAGCUCAUGA